rnacentral:rRNA from 1 species
UUUAAAUGUAAAUUUAUUUACUAAAUUAGUAUUAGUUAUGUUCUUGAAAAUUAAAAAUUUUGGCGGUAUUUUAGUCUAUUCAGAGGAACCUGUUCUGUAAUUGAUAAUCCACGAUUAAUUAUACUUAAAAUAAUUAGGUUGUAUAUCGUCGUAUAAAAAUAUUUUAUAAGAAUUUAAUAUUUAAGAUUUUUCAUUAGAAAAAAAAUCAGAUCAAGGUGCACUUUAUAUUUAAGUAGAAAUGGGUUACAAUAAAUUAUAUUUAUGGAUUAUUAGUUGAAAAUUAAGUUGAAAUUGGAUUUGAGAGUAAUUUUGUUAAAUAAAUUUAAAAUGAUUUAAGCUCUAAAAUAUGC